CUUUUUAUUUUGCUCUUGACACCUUCCAUCCUUUUAGAAAAAAUCCCUCUUUUUUCAAGUCGUCUUGUCACUUGUCAUGAAAUUCUUAGGCUGAACCAUGUUACAUUUCCAUCUGUAGCUAUUAGCUAGUAAUUACUUGCUUCUUGAUAUGCCUUACAUCUUGGAUUGAAUUGUGUGGAAUAGGACUAAUUCCAGUCUCCCUAGGAUAUUGUCUUCUGUAUCACUGAGGAGAGCUAUCUUCAUGCCAGCACAACUGAGAUCUGGAAUCUUACCCUAGCUCUGUUAAUGCGUUGGAAUCCCCAGCUAGGAGUUGUGCUUACGGCAGGGAGCAUUAAGAACAGAGGAGUAGAACGCAGUGAGCCAAAAUGCUGGCAUAAGGGGUAGAUUUUUAAAAAAUAUUUGUGAACAACAAACUGCGGUUGGUUUUUUUCUUUGCAAAUUGUGUUGUAGACAUUGAUUUUCUCACUUACAGCAUAUUUGGAUUAAAUAGAAGUGCAACACUAGCCUAAGGUAAACUGGGAAAUGCAUCCUUCAGAGGCAGUUCCUUGUUUUACUUUUCUUUCCAUUCCCAAUGAACAGAUUGAUGUUGCUGAAGCACCUAGUGCCUGAUGAAUGAAUAAGUUACCUGUUCAUGCAGUGUAACUUAGAAAAUAAAUCUACAUUUCAGAAAAAAACAAAGGGUCAAACUCUUAAAAGAUCUCAUCUGCUUUCUCAGACUCUAGUGACCAAGAAAUAAUGGCUGUAUGGGGAGUACAGGGGGAAGGUAGGGGAGUCAUUUACUGACUGAAGGGAAUCUGUUUUAUCUCUGAUCUUCAGAAAUAUUAGCAAUAGAAUGACUGAGAGUUAGUAUUUUAGGCAUGGUAUUUUGCAUAAUAACCUAUUAUAGUUCAGGAAGCCUUAAAACACAGCACACACAGAUUAAAAGAAAUAAUAGCUUUUGUUUCGAAAAAGCUUAUAACAUGUAAUGGUGCAAGUGUGUUGUAACCCAUCACUGUGAAUGCAUAUGGAUACCCUGUGGUUAAAGAGCUGCUCUUCCGUCUCUUUCAUCACUCCCUAUUUGUGAGCCCAUCUGUUGGGCAAGAAAUCUCUUAGCCUGUCACCUAGUAGACAUGUGCAAACUGGAGGGCAAGGGGGGAGGCAGAGAGAAGGAGAGGUGAUGCAUAAGGGUGCGUGGUUCAAGAGUUAAGUGUGGAGCUACUGAGAACAUAGCUGGGAGGAAGCCACUGAAGCAGCAAAGGACCUGGUGUGUUACCAAGAGGAACGCUCCAGCUGGGAGAUGAAGGUGUAAUACCAGUCAGGAUGCAUCCACCAGAGAAAGACUCCAUGCUUUUAUGACAUCUGCAUCUCCAGUGUGCAAACUGGGGGUGAUGGGUGAUGCUUGGGGAAUGGGAUGUGUUGCAUAGUUAAUGGGAGGAGCAGUUUGUUAGAUUGAGAACUGCAAGUCUAAGGAAAACCUUUUCAAAGAGGAGCGAAAAAGAGUGGCUCCCAUUAUUGUACUUUUAGGCCAUUGAUGAUCCUGUAGUAUUGCUGCUGAGUAGGAAUCACCGAAUGACCAGCUACAAAUUUUUGAUAGAUUCACAGUCAUCCCACUUUCUUUCAUCUUUUCCCAAAAGACUGCUUGAUAUCUCUCUUCCCAGUCAUUUUGGAAGCCAAUUCCUGCUACCUCAAGCAUGAACAGAAUCAUACAUGUUAAGAGAGUUAACAAGAUAACAUGUUGCCAAUUUGACUUUCUCUUGCUUGUAAACUAAAGAAAAUGAGAUUUAGGCAUUCUCUGCAGUGAUAUAAGGUCAGUUACCUUCAGUAACUCAGUCCUCAGGGAAUCUUCUUGUACUUGGAUCAGGUAUAAUCAGAGUUCUUAUAUCUUCUGAUUGGUUUCAUGUUUCUUUUCUUGCUUUUUUCAAUUUUUAUCUUAGAAAUGUAUGUAAGAUGAAAAAGCCUUUUAAACUACAUCAAGAUUUCUGAGUAGCAUUUGCAUGCUUUCGAAUCACCAUUUGCCUUCUGCCUCCAUUCAGAGCUCUUAAACUGAUUUUUUCAGUGCCUGUGGUUUUGUCUUCACAUGUGUAACCUAGACUUUCAGAUUCUUUUCUCGUGGGAGGCAAAAAGCUAUCAAGUUCCUGAUAAAACAUUAGUACUUUUGGAAACUAUAAAUGCAUGUUUAUAAAAUCUUGAAAGAUAAUUUAAUUUUCUAACAGAUAUUAUUUCAAAUUGUAGCGAUGCAAACGUUACAGCGAUGAGAAUCAAAAUUCAAAGUGGUAAUGCAAAGAUGUUCAACACUAUAGAUUUGUUAUCCAGGCUGAGAGAAAUGAAAACAUAAGCGUAUAACACAAACAGUAAAAACAAAUUGAGUUUCUAAAAUUUAUUAUUAGUAAGUGGCUUUGGUCCUGCACUGGAAGAAUAUUUGUUGAAUAGAUUGAGAUAUUGAAGAAAGCUACUUAAAUGUGCUAUUUUGGAGAAAUUUUCAACAACAAAAAAAAAUCAUUACAUUAAGGGGUGAAGGUUCCAUUUGCAUUAUUUAUAGUUGUUGGCUUGAGAUGUCAAGCUUCAAGUAAAUAAUAGUUCACUUAAGAAGCAAGAAAAAUAUAAAGUAGUUAUCAGACAAUUAACAGUACAGAAUACCCUUUGUUAUCCAGUUAAAAGAUGACUGUGCUAAGAGUGCUAGAAGAUACCUUUUUAAGAUAAAAGAUAACACUAAACACAUGGUUUCUGCCUUCUUGGUCAAGUAUUCUUAUGCUUAAGCUAGAACACUUUUCUUUUUAGUCUGUACAAAAUAACAUGAUAGGAUGUGAUUGUACUAUUGCCUUCAGACAGACAGACUUGAGACUUGAACAAUUCAACUGUGGAUAGAUAGCUAUUGAAAGAGCUUUUAAAUUAGUAAAUCCCUAAUUUAUUCUUUGAGCUAAAUGAGAUGCUGAAUUCAGGCUGUAGAUUUCUUGUAAAAAUCCUAAAUUAUUGCAAGUAUGCUGUUAGGCUAGAAUAAUAAUCUUGCUGAUACUUAAUGUUUAAAAGUGAAGAACAAGGUUUAUAUGAUAGUGAACUGAGAACUAGACAGAGGUUCUUUUCCUGCCACUCGUGUGCUUUGGCAUCUCGGACAAGUCCACUUGAACAUCUCUUCCUCACUUUCCUUAUUGAGAAAAUAAUUUUGAUAGUUUCUGAAAAUGCAUUGCCAUGCUUAAUUACGAUACAUUUUCUGCAAAGCACUAGGAAGAUAAAAAGCAAUGUUCAAGAAAAGAUGUGCAGCUUUGCUUCUUCUGCUCUUCUUCAGUGUGUUGCCAUGCACCUAAUGAGAGAACUGCUGGCACAGCAGAAAGUUGUGCCUUUUCUUUUUAAGCUUCACAACUUCUGUACACACAGAACCAUACCAGCAUAACAGUUCAAUAAUAAUUAUACCGCUAAUUGCUUAGCAGGCAGGGGAGGAGGGAGUGGACUUUACACCAACAGUUCAUUGGUAAAGCUAAUCUGGUGCUAGUGUGUCCUUGUGAGCCGCUGUGCUCAGUUUGGGGUCCUGUUGAUAACAUCCAGAGUAGAUGCUCAGCAAGCAUAAUUGCUGCUGUAAGUAGCUAAAGUUAUGUAUCACUUUUUUUCAUGAAUGUGAAGCUCAUGUGAAUACUGUAUUACCUGUGGCAAUGCAGACAGUCCUUCAUUAAUAAUACAAGGACAUUCUGGGUUUUCUGGUCCUGAGAAGAGAAGGGGCAGUGCAAGCACACUGCUACAUUACCGCAGGAAUAAAGAUGUUUAUGUAGGUGUUGCAAAAGACAGAAAUUCACUGUGGCAGAGAAUCAAAGCGCUGAACAAAGUAGAAAACAACUAGCAACAAUGAAGCCAGCUGAAGAAUGGCAGUGAGAAUCUGGGGCUGCUCUCUGUCCCGUUGUGGUUGCACAAAGCUGUAUGCCAGGGUGGGCAUGUCCCAGCAAGGAGCACCGAGCACAUCACAGCACCAUUCUGGAAGGAACCAUAAAGGUGCAGGCUGACAAUGAGCUCAUGGAAACGGGAGUCACAGAAUUCAGGUGCUGAAGAGCUGAUGGCUCCCUGAAUCUCAACGUAUCUGACCACAGAUGAAUCUUGAAAUGGUAUCUCUGGGAGCACGAAUGGCAUUCAGAUGCUUCAGCUGAGAAAUUCUUCGUACCUUUGCAUCGGAGGAAGAAAGGAUAACUUGUUCUCCAAACUUUACAAGAGUUCCAAGCCAAGAUUUCCAUGAAACAAGGCAGUGGAAGGAGUGCCUCCUUGAAGAAAAGCAGACUAACAGGAGAGAGGCACAGGAAAAUAGAUGAAGACAUUAAGCAACUCUAGAGAGGGCAUAUGUAAAUGUAUUUAUGUCUCAUAGAACUUCAACAGAGCCUUAUGAGACAAAGUGCCCUAAGAUGUACGCUCCUGCAGAUCAUCUGGGCAGCCCACUGUUUUCAUGGGACUUUCCUCAUUCAUGUGCCUGCUGGCCAAGUGACCGGGUAACAUCACAGUUUCCCUUCCACACAACCUCAGUGGAAAAUCAACAGUGAUGAGUAUUAGUACUUUGACCUCAAAAUCGUGUAGAAACCACAGUAAACUUUCUCUUUUUUCUAGCCUGAUCAUAUUUGGGAACAAGACAAGGGAAAUCAUACGUCUCUUUUUGUCUCUUUGCAUACUACUAGAGAGUUCUCUCUCUCCCCCCCUCCAACUUUUCAACUAUUCUUGCCCAAUUUCAACAAAAACAUUAUAGCUGAGCAGGAAUAUUAAAGUUUAUAGAGUUUUUACAACUUUGGUGGAAGAAAAAUGAGCCAGCAUAUCAUCUAUGAUAGAAACCAGACAAGAAAGAAGUCUUUUAGAGAUCCAAACCAGGAAGAUGGCUUUAAUUGAAGUUCAUACCUGGUUUCUCUGCAAAAGUCAAUCAGCCACAAGACAUGAAGCUAUAAGAAACCACGAUCCACUCUUUGUGGUGAUUACACAGUAACUUUUUAACUGACUAAAUGUUUUGAGAAGUGCUAUUUGUUUAUUUGGUUUUUAAUCACUGCUCAAUAAAGCUAUUAUAUGCAA